AUUGAACGCUGGCGGCAGGCCUAACACAUGCAAGUCGAGCGGAUGAAGGGAGCUUGCUCCUGGAUUCAGCGGCGGACGGGUGAGUAAUGCCUAGGAAUCUGCCUGGUAGUGGGGGAUAACGUCCGGAAACGGGCGCUAAUACCGCAUACGUCCUGAGGGAGAAAGAGGGGGAUCUUCGGACCUCACGCUAUCAGAUGAGCCUAGGUCGGAUUAGCUAGUUGGUGGGGUAAAGGCCUACCAAGGCGACGAUCCGUAACUGGUCUGAGAGGAUGAUCAGUCACACUGGAACUGAGACACGGUCCAGACUCCUACGGGAGGCAGCAGUGAGGAAUAUUGGACAAUGGGCGAAAGCCUGAUCCAGCCAUGCCGCGUGUGUGAAGAAGGUCUUCGGAUUGUAAAGCACUUUAAGUUGGGAGGAAGGGCAGUAAGUUAAUACCUUGCUGUUUUGACGUUACCAACAGAAUAAGCACCGGCUAACUUCGUG
rnacentral:rRNA from 1 species